UACGUAGGGUGCAAGCGUUAUCCGGAAUUACUGGGCGUAAAGGGCGCGUAGGCGGACAGUUUAGUCAGAGGUGAAAGCCCAGGGCUCAACCUUGGAAUUGCCUUUGAUACUGGCUGUCUUGAGUUCGGGAGAGGUGAGUGGAAUGCCGAGUGUAGAGGUGAAAUUCGUAGAUAUUCGGCGGAACACCAGUGGCGAAGGUGACUCACUGGCCCGAUACUGACGCUGAGGCGCGAAAGCGUGGGAGCAAACAGG
rnacentral:rRNA from 1 species